rnacentral:lncRNA from 1 species
AUGCCGUCCCCACCCUUCGGCCCCAGUGCAUUUCCCCCCUCUCCCCGGGGGUCGGGCGGGGCCGGGGGUCUGAAUCGGGAGGAGCCGAUACCACCAUCCCCCCCCCGCGCCCACCACCACCACCGUCCGGUAACUGUCAGGGCCACCAGGACUAGCUGCCGUUUCCCCCUUCUCUUGAUCACUCUCCCUAGCUCCUUCCUCCCCCCCGCCCGCCCCACCAUCAGGUUUCUUCGCCUCUCUCUAAUCCACACCACUCCUACUCGGGCUAACUCGGUAGGAGGAAGAGACGCCGGGAGCCCGUCGCCUUCCCGGCUGCCGCCACUUCUUUUCCUGCUGCUGCUCCUCCGCACUCCAGACCCCAACUGUCCCCCUCCCUACUCCUUGUCCGCUUCCUCCUCCUCCUCCUCCUCCGCCGUUCGUCGCCCUCUGGAGGAGGCGGCGGGGGGGAGGGAGUGUGCGCGCGCCCGCCCGCGCGCCUCGCCUCGCUCCCGGCGCGCGGAGCUGAAGCGGGUGGGGAAGGCGAGAAGGGUGCGGGGCUCGGGCGGGCGCGAGCUCAGCUGGAGGCGCGCGCGUGCGCAGCCGCCCGCGGGAACGACUGGGGGAAUUCCCGGUCGGCAUGACCAGUGGCCGGGCCCGGGGCGGCGGUUCGGAGCCGGGACGGCUGGGAAGAGCAACGGGGAGGCGGAGGCCCGAUCCCAGCACGGAGCGGGAGAAACCUGGCCUCCCCGCGCCGCCCCCACGAGGAGGAGGUGGAAGAGCGGGCCGGGCCGGGGGCGCGCGCACGUGUGUGGUAGGCUCCUGCCGCGGGACCGGAGGGGAGAGCAGUCACUAGUGGAGCGGGGAGGGAGAGAGAGGGCACUCACGGCUUUCCGCUUGGCCCCGAGGAGGGCCGCCGCAGUAGAUCCUCUCCCUCCCUCCCGCUCGUUUCUUCUCUCUUCUCCGACCCUUCUGCUUCCACUUUCACAUCCCCGGGCCUCCGUGCCACGCUCCCCCACCCCGCAGCUCGGCAGUGGGAGGAGCGGCACCUUAUGCCAGCGCCGUACACGCUUGCACAUGUACUGGACUCAGUUUACCGCGGCGGGGAGCGCCUGCCCUGCAUUAGCCCGAGCCGCCCCCGAGCCGGUUCGUUUCGGGGCCGGGGUCGCGAAAGUUCAUCGCGGACACACGGCGCCGAGGGAGAUCGCUCACUAUCGCAACAGCCGGACGCCGUGCGGGGAAAUGGUCGUUGAACAAGUGUGGAGAGCAGUUUGGUCGAGGCCGCCACUGCGGCCACCGCAACAUCUUUUGUGUCGCGCGUUCUUAAUUUGA